rnacentral:rRNA from 1 species
CCUACGGGUGACAGCAGUGGGGAAUAUUGCACAAUGGUGGAAACCCUGAUGCAGCGACGCCGCGUGAGUGAAGAAGUAAUUCGUUACGUAAAGCUCUUUCAGCAGGGAAGAAACACUGACCUUACGGUCAGCAGACGGUAUCUGAGUAAGAAGCCCCGUCUAACUACGUGCCAGCAGACGCGGUAAUAAGUAGGGGGCAAGCGUUAUCCGGAUUUAAUGGGUGUAAAGGGGGCGUAGACGGUGCGGCAUGUCUGGAGUGAAAUGCCGCAGCUUAACUGCCGAACUGCCUUGGAAACUGGCGAACUAGAGUGCGGGAGAGGUAAGCGGAAUGCCUGGUGUAGCGGUGAAAUGCGUAGAUA